rnacentral:ncRNA from 2 species
CCCCGACACUGUGCAGACGGUGCCGCAGAGAUGCGGCUUAAAAGGGAAGCAGGUGCAAGGCCUGCGCUGUCCCCGCAACUGUAAGCGUCGAGUGUUCCGCCAUAUGCCACUGGUUGUCUUUGUACCGGGAAGGCGGCGAAACGCGCCUGAGACGCGAGUCAGGAGACCUGCCCCUGCUGUCGUCCUUC